CCGCACGAUGCCUCCCGGGCUUCUCCGAGAUCCCCAUGAAGCGAAAGCCCCAAUGCACGUGCCAAAUCAUUGCCGUUCGUGUUGCAGUUUAGCCCUAAUUGUUCUUCACGGCUGAUCUGUGUCAAAGUAACGGCCAAAUCC